GGCUAUGUUUGGUUUUAGAGAAACUAUAAGGAAAGAAAGAGGAAGGAGAGAAAGGUUGAAGAAUAUUCUCUUUUCCAUUGUUUGGUUUGCCAACAAUAAGGUAAGGAAAGAAAGUUUUAUGCUGGAACCCACUCAAAAUGUAGUCACCCCUAAAUUGGAUGGAAAGUGAGAGGAAGCUUUGCUUUUGGAAUGAAAUGACAUAAAUACCCA
rnacentral:lncRNA from 1 species